GAUGAACGCUGGCGGCGUGCCUAAUACAUGCAAGUCGAGCGAACGGACGAGAAGCUUGCUUCUCUGAUGUUAGCGGCGGACGGGUGAGUAACACGUGGAUAACCUACCUAUAAGACUGGGAUAACUUCGGGAAACCGGAGCUAAUACCGGAUGAUAUUUUGAACCGCAUGGUUCAAAAGUGAAAGACGGUCUUGCUGUCACUUAUAGAUGGAUCCGCGCUGCAUUAGCUAGUUGGUAAGGUAAUGGCUUACCAAGGCAACGAUGCAUAGCCGACCUGAGAGGGUGAUCGGCCACACUGGAACUGAGACACGGUCCAGACUCCUACGGGAGGCAGCAGUAGGGAAUCUUCAGCAAUGGGCGAAAGCCUGACGGAGCAACGCCGCGUGAGUGAUGAAGGUCUUCGGAUCGUAAAACUCUGUUAUUAGGGAAGAACAUAUGUGUAAGUAACUGUGCACAUCUUGACGGUACCUAAUCAGAAAGCCACGGCUAACUACGUG
rnacentral:rRNA from 1 species